rnacentral:tRNA from 1 species
GGAUUGUGGCUCAGUGGUAGAGCGCUCACCUAGCAUGUGCAAGUCCCUGGGUUCAAACCUUAGCACCA